CCUCGGCCCCGCCCCAUGGCCUCGGGCAGCCUGCGCUGUUCCGUGUGCGCGGCGCAUACGCACCUGGGUUGUCUCGAUCCCAGACAUCCGAGUAGAUCCCGCGAAAGAUCUCCCACGUGGGUUGCGGACGGUGCCCAAGGGUAGCAGAGCUAGCAGAGGCAGUGACGGACUGAGUCUGUGGCAGGUCGUUUGCAAAGAGAAAAGCCAUCUGCCGCUUAAUUUAUGGCUCAAGUUUCAGAAUUUUAUUCCCAAGGGACUUUAGAAAUUACUUCAGGCUUGCCACCUAACCUUAAACCACCCCCUUGGAGACCGGCUAAGUGUUAUUUGUGUUUUCUGUUUAGUUUUUAUCACCAUCGAUACUUGGUUGUAACAAUGGUUGUGUACAUUGGUUGGCCCAGCAAGUAUUACUUCUCCAGCUUAACAGAUGUGGAAACUUCAGCCCAGAGACAUGAGUUGACACCCCACCCCCAAAGCUAGAGUCUAAAACCCUUUCCUUCGCUCCUCAUCGCCCACAGGAUAAAAUGCAAAUUAAUCAGACUAGCGGUGAGGCCCUCCGUGGUGUGCCUAACCUGCAUCCCGAGGUUUUCACCCUACUUUGAUCCAGAAAGCAUCUUUCCGCCUCCUCUCUUCUCCCUUCCUUAAAUACCCCUUACAACUUCCUGUACCAUUCCUCCCUGUUUAGCUUCUACUUGGUUUCUUGGUACAUGCUGGAUCCACCCCUUUCAUACAUAUUCCAGACCAUAUUUCCACUGCAGCAUUUGAGAUGAGAGAGAUGGGAAUGGGACUCACCGACCCAGAGGAAUCUUUAUUACAGAUUCAUUAACAGAGGUGUCAAAGGCACAGGAACAAGGAUGUGCACCUCAGAAACACAGAGCUCAGUGGAAAAUCAGUUUGCUUCUAUUUGUUUAAAAAAUGGAGGACUUUUAUGCAUAAAUCUAAGACCUUCUUGAAUCUAACAUUCAAAGAUCUGUAUGCCACAGAAAGGAGGGUCUUGGAAUGCCUGAGGAUAGUAUUUAAAUCUGAAACAUCGAUAUUAUUCGCCACAGUUAUAGGGUCACCACAAACCAAGCAUUCAAUAAAAACGUGUUUGUUUACUAAGUAA